rnacentral:rRNA from 1 species
CUGCGCGAGUCGCAGGGUUGUACGAAACCUGAAGGCGCAACGAAAGUGAACGAUCUUCGGAUCGGGUGAGAUCCCCGGGUCGCAAUCGCGGCUCGGGGCGCAUCACCGGCCUGUCUCGGCCGCAGCGUCGGCGAGGCGGAGCAAGAGCGUACGCGUUGGGACCCGAAAGAUGGUGAACUAUGCCUGAGCAGGGUGAAGCCAGAAGAAAUUCUGGUGGAAGUCCGCAGCGAUUCUGACGUGCAAAUCGAUCGUCAAACUUGGGUAUAGGGGCGAAAGACCAAUCGAACUAUCUAGUAGCUGGUUCCUGUCGAAGUUUCCCUCAGGAUAGCUGGCGCUCAUCGAGCAGUUUUAUCCGGUAAAGCGAAUGAUUAGAGGCCUUGGGGGCUUACUGUUCUCAACCUAUUCUCAAACUUUAAAUGGGUAAGAAGUCCGUCUCACUUGAUUGGAGUCGGACAAGCGAAUGCGAGUGCCAAGUGGGCCAUUUUUGGUAAGCAGAACUGGCGCUGUGGGA